AUUGAACGCUGGCGGCAUGCCUUACACAUGCAAGUCGAACGGUAACAGGUCUUCGGAUGCUGACGAGUGGCGAACGGGUGAGUAAUACAUCGGAACGUGCCUAGUAGCGGGGGAUAACUACUCGAAAGAGUGGCUAAUACCGCAUGAGAUCUACGGAUGAAAGCAGGGGAUCGCAAGACCUUGUGCUACUAGAGCGGCCGAUGGCAGAUUAGGUAGUUGGUGGGAUAAAAGCUUACCAAGCCGACGAUCUGUAGCUGGUCUGAGAGGACGAUCAGCCACACUGGGACUGAGACACGGCCCAGACUCCUACGGGAGGCAGCAGUGGGGAAUUUUGGACAAUGGGCGCAAGCCUGAUCCAGCAAUGCCGCGUGCAGGAUGAAGGCCUUCGGGUUGUAAACUGCUUUUGUACGGAACGAAAAGCCCCGGGUUAAUACCCCGGGGUCAUGACGGUACCGUAAGAAUAAGCACCGGCUAACUACGUGCCAGCCGCCGCCGUAA
rnacentral:rRNA from 1 species